CCUGCUCUGCUCAGGGCUUUGCAUAGGCAAAUGCCAAGGCCUGGGUGAGUGAAAGGGCCCCAGGCAGAGGGCAGAGUCCAUGCCAUCUGGGUGGGGGCACUGGCCUGGGCAGAUCUGGGAGAAGGGGAAGGAAAGAGGGCUGCCUCAGUGGCCUCAUGUUGUCACACAGGCAGAUUGGGACAUUCUCUUUAUCCAUCUUUGGCAUGGAAUUGCUCUGUGCACACCAUAGAUAUUCCCUGGGGAUGAAUUCCUGGAAGUGGACUUACUAGAAACUCACAUUUUGAAGGGCUGUGGGAGUUAUGAGCCUGGAACCGUGGACGAAAACCUACAUAUGGAAGAAAUACUUGAGGUCAUUUUUGCCAGCAGACAGAGAAGAUGGCGAAGUGUAGCCGGGACCCGUGGUGUGAGUGGAGUGGGAUUCAUUGCAAGGAGGAAGAUGGAGGUGGCUCUGAGGACCUGCAGGGGGACAGGUAAGCAGGCUGUGGUCAGAGGUCUCAGAGGUGGGAGAGCGCAGCACGUGGAGGAAGAGCCGCGGAGAUGUGGGUGGCUGGGCUCACCAAGAACAGAAGGGGACAUCUGCCAUCCUUUUUGGCUGCUAAACAUGCUUUACAUUUGGGGAGUUCUCCGCCUCAUGAAUCCUCGUUUCCAAUUGCAGAAGCCAGGUGAGGCCUUCCCAGCCUCCCCUUGCCGCUGAGGUGCAGGGUCUGCCAGCCAGAGGCCCCGUGCCAGACUCUGAACCUGCAUCAGGCACCAAGAAAAAUGCACCCUGGGAGGGUGGUGACAGCCAAAUCCUGUUUCCAGAGGCUUAGGGGAGUGAGCCCUUAGUGCCACCACCCAGGGCCCAAAUCAAUGGCAUUGGCAAACAGUGGUAUCAGUGUCCAGGGUGGCUCUGCCAGGCUGGCUUGGCUGUGACCUUUGGGACAUUAUUCCUGGCUAACUCUCUAGCCCUGCUGGAGAUGCUAUGAGCUACAGAAUAGUUUUAAUAAUUUAUUUUCCAGCUUAAACUAGCUAGAGUCUGUUUCUCUUACUUUCAGUUAAGAACUUUAAUCCGGCCGGGCGUGGUGGCUCACGCUUGUAAUCCCAACACUUUGGGAGGCUGCGGUGGGUGGAUCACAAAGUCAGGAGUUUGAGACCAGCCUGGCCAACAUGGUGAAACCCUGUCUCUACUAAAAACAAUACAAAACUAUUAGCCGGGCAUUGUGGCGAGUACCUGUAAUCCCAGCCCUCAGGAGGUUGUUGAGGCAGGAGAAUAGCUUGAACCCAGGAGGCGGAGGUUGCUGUGAGCCGAAAUCGCGCCAUUGCUCUCAAACCUGGGCAGUAAGAGUGAAACACAGUCUCAAAAAAAAAAAAAAAAAAAAAAGAAAGAAAGAAAAGAACUUUAAUUUGGGGAUGAAACCUCAGAGUCAGUGGGAUCACCAAAUGGAUGCCAAGAAACUCAAACAGUGAACCCAGGUAUGGGUGUCUCCUGGGAAGGUGGAACCAGAUAGAACUAGUGUUACGGCGUUAUACUUGUAUAGUGUUGGGACUAUUUAUUUAUUUAUUUAUUUAUUUCGAGAUGGAGUCUCGCUCUGUCACCCAGGCUGGAGUGCAGUGGCACGAUCUUGGCUCACUGCAACCUCUGCCUCCCAGGUUCAAGCGAUUCUCCUUUUUCAGCCUCCUGAGUAGCUGGGACCACAGGCGCGCAUCACCAUGCCUGGCUAAUUUUUGUAUUUUUAGUACAGACGGGGUUUCACUAUGUUGGCCGGGCUGAUCUCAAACUCCUGACCUUGUGAUCCACCUGCCUCGGCCUCCCAAAGUGCUGGGAUUACAGGCGUAAGCCAACAAGCCCAGCCAGGACUAUUUAUUUUUAGAGACAGGGUCUCACCCUGUCACCCAGGCUAGAGUGCAGUGGCAUGACCAUAGACCACUGCAGCCUCAAACUCAUGCCUCAAGUUUAGGUUAGGACUCAACUGAUCCUCCAGCCUCAACUUCCCAAGUAGCUAGGACUAUAUGCUCACACCACCAGGCCCAGCUAAUUUUUAAACAUUUUUUGUAGACAUGAGGUCUUGCUAUGUGGCCCAGGAUGGUCUGAAACUCCUGGCCUCAAGUGAUCCUCCUGCCUUAGCCUCCCAAAGUGUUGGGAUUACAGGUGAGACCUACUGUGCCCAACCAUUAAUUAUUUUUAUAAUUUAAAAAAAUCCAUCAAUAUAGAUAGAAAGAAAGAAAAAGAAGGGAGGAAGGGAAAGAGGGAGGGAGAUGUGACCUGGACUUCAAAUAUAAGGAAGCACAGGAAGACAGAGGCACUAGGGGAAGGCAGGGCCAGGGAGCGGGAGGCCAGGCCAACAGGAGGUUAUGUGGGGGCCACCAUGGGAAAGCCAGGUUUCCCUUCUUGAGGGGAGUGGAAGAGAGGUACUGAUGACACAAGGAUUCCUCUCCCAGCAGAGUGGGAACCCACAAAGGCAAGUGAAGUUUAGGUGGGGUAGAAAGGAAAGAACUUUCUGAACAUGAGGUUAGGGCCAAGUGCGUGGGGAGAGGUCUGUCCCUGAGGAAAUAGGGGGACAGGAGCUGGGGAGCUCAGAAGCUCAAGACCAGCCUGGAAACAGGGGGACAGGGCAGGGAGCUGCAUGUGGAGAAGAAGGUCCCACAAGGGUAAGGGGCCUUGAGUCCUCAGGACAUUUUUGCCAGAGCAGGUGCUCAGGUUAGAGGCCCAAGACGUUCCUGGUGGAAGGGCCUACAGCCAACGGAACUCUGUGGUUGGGUUCAAGUUAAAGCCAGGGGCAAUCCCGGGGGACAGCAGUUUGCAGUAGGGAGGGAAGGGGCUGUCCUGGGCCAAUGGAUGAUGGGGCUGGCUUCACACAAGCUAGCAGAGGCCCCUCUUCCUCCCUCGCCUGCUGCUGUCACAGGUCUGCUGACUCAGCUGACUCGGGACAGCUGUGAUGGGUGAUGAAGGGCUGACAGAGCGAGGGACAGAUGGCUCCCUAGGAGAGGCCUCUGCCCCAUCCCUCCCUGGUGCACAAUCAUUUCUUGCCACAGUUUCAGAGCUUUGUGAGAGACCAUCCCUCUGUCUCCCCUGGCAGUGGGUAGAAAGUCUGGUGUGUAGUUUGUUGGCCAGGUGCAGUGGCUCACACCUCUAACCCCAGCACUUUGGGAGGUCAAGGCAGGUGGAUCUGUUGAGGUCAGGAGUUUGAGACCAGCCUGGCCAACAUGGUAAAACCCCAUCUCUACUAAAAAUACAAAAAAUUAACCGGGUGUGAUAGCACACGCCUAUAAUCCCACUUACACGGGAGGCUGAGACAGGAGAAUCACUUGAACCUGGGAGGUGGGAGUUGCAGUGAGCCGAAAUUGUGCCAUUGCACUCCAGCCUGGGCGACAGAGUGAGCAGAGUGAGACUUCGUCUCAAAAAACAAAACAAAACAAAACAAAAACAACAA
rnacentral:lncRNA from 10 species